UGCAAGUCGAACGAACUCUGGGUAUUGAUUGGUGCUUGCAUCAUGAUUUACAUUUGAGUGAGUGGCGAACUGGUGAGUAACACGUGGGAAACCUGCCCAGAAGCGGGGGAUAACACCUGGAAACAGAUGCUAAUACCGCAUAACAACUUGGACCGCAUGGUCCGAGUUUGAAAGAUGGCUUCGGCUAUCACUUUUGGAUGGUCCCGCGGCGUAUUAGCUAGAUGGUGGGGUAACGGCUCACCAUGGCAAUGAUACGUAGCCGACCUGAGAGGGUAAUCGGCCACAUUGGGACUGAGACACGGCCCAAACUCCUACGGGAGGCAGCAGUAGGGAAUCUUCCACAAUGGACGAAAGUCUGAUGGAGCAACGCCGCGUGAGUGAAGAAGGGUUUCGGCUCGUAAAACUCUGUUGUUAAAGAAGAACAUAUCUGAGAGUAACUGUUCAGGUAUUGACGGUAUUUAACCAGAAAGCCACGGCUAACUACGUGCCAGCAGCCGCGGUAAUACGUAGGUGGCAAGCGUUGUCCGGAUUUAUUGGGCGUAAAGCGAGCGCAGGCGGUUUUUUAAGUCUGAUGUGAAAGCCUUCGGCUCAACCGAAGAAGUGCAUCGGAAACUGGGAAACUUGAGUGCAGAAGAGGACAGUGGAACUCCAUGUGUAGCGGUGAAAUGCGUAGAUAUAUGGAAGAACACCAGUGGCGAAGGCGGCUGUCUGGUCUGUAACUGACGCUGAGGCUCGAAAGUAUGGGUAGCAAACAGGAUUAGAUACCCUGGUAGUCCAUACCGUAAACGAUGAAUGCUAAGUGUUGGAGGGUUUCCGCCCUUCAGUGCUGCAGCUAACGCAUUAAGCAUUCCGCCUGGGGAGUACGGCCGCAAGGCUGAAACUCAAAGGAAUUGACGGGGGCCCGCACAAGCGGUGGAGCAUGUGGUUUAAUUCGAAGCUACGCGAAGAACCUUACCAGGUCUUGACAUACUAUGCAAAUCUAAGAGAUUAGACGUUCCCUUCGGGGACAUGGAUACAGGUGGUGCAUGGUUGUCGUCAGCUCGUGUCGUGAGAUGUUGGGUUAAGUCCCGCAACGAGCGCAACCCUUAUUAUCAGUUGCCAGCAUUAAGUUGGGCACUCUGGUGAGACUGCCGGUGACAAACCGGAGGAAGGUGGGGAUGACGUCAAAUCAUCAUGCCCCUUAUGACCUGGGCUACACACGUGCUACAAUGGAUGGUACAACGAGUUGCGAACUCGCGAGAGUAAGCUAAUCUCUUAAAGCCAUUCUCAGUUCGGAUUGUAGGCUGCAACUCGCCUACAUGAAGUCGGAAUCGCUAGUAAUCGCGGAUCAGCAUGCCGCGGUGAAUACGUUCCCGGGCCUUGUACACACCGCCCGUCACACCAUGAGAGUUUGUAACACCCAAAGUCGGUGGGGUAACCUUUUAGGAACCAGCCGCCUAA
rnacentral:rRNA from 1 species